CAGCUCUCCGGGUUUUGCCCGGCCUGGGAAGAUGGGCGCUCUGCAAUCGCGGGAGAAAAAGAUAAACGCUUCCGUUUUUGCAAACUCAAAGCGGGGCUCGUGGUCCUACUCUGCUGGACUGCGCUGGAUUCUGUACCCGUAACCCCAGUAAUAAUAACGAAUCCUCCUGAGAAGUGGCAUCUGUAGAGAACAUUUAUAGAAUUGCAGGAGAAUGGAGUCUACGUUUAGACCAAUUGGAGACUCGACCUGGAUCUGGAAGUUACUCCCCAGCAAAAGGAGGAUGGGAUGUGAUUCUCUCCGAGCUCCACACGUGUGGCAGACAGAAGCAGCAGCCAGAACCACACAGACAUUCCUCCCGCUGGUGCAGAGAGGAGAUGUUCCUUGGCAAGAAGUGACUGCUGGGGAAUUCCCUGGCAGCCCAGUGUUUAGGACUCG